ACUCCUACGGGAGGCAGCAGUGGGGAAUAUUGGACAAUGGGCGCAAGCCUGAUCCAGCCAUGCCGCGUGAGUGAUGAAGGCCCUAGGGUUGUAAAGCUCUUACACCGGUGAAGAUAAUGACGGUAACCGGAGAAGAAGCCCCGGCUAACUUCGUGCCAGCAGCCGCGGUAAUACGAAGGGGGCUAGCGUUGUUCGGAUUUACUGGGCGUAAAGCGCACGUAGGCGGACUAUUAAGUCAGGGGUGAAAUCCCGGGGCUCAACCCCGGAACUGCCGUUGAUACUGGUAGUCUUGAGUUCGGGAGAGGUGAGUGGAAUUCCGAGUGUAGAGGUGAAAUUCGUAGAUAUUCGGAGGAACACCAGUGGCGAAGGCGGCUCACUGGCUCGAUACUGACGCUGAGGUGCGAAAGCGUGGGGAGCAAACAGGAUUAGAUACCCCUGUAGUCCCAUG
rnacentral:rRNA from 1 species